ACGCCCAUGCUCAACCCCGCAAGCCAGGCUCUCUACUUGCGCUUCCUUCCCAAACACGCUCCAGCGUUUGGGAGGGAAGCGGAAGUAGAGAGCAUGGCUUGCGGGGGUGGCCUAUGCU